GUACAGGUGAGUGACUUCAAGCCUUAUUUUAGACAAAGUGUCUCUCCUGCCCCAAAGGCUCUCACAGAACAAAGCUGCUACAACGGUUCCUAAAACAGACACAAUUCCCACAGAAUUAUAGAUAAUUUUCAUUUCAGAAAAGAAGAUAAAGACAUUAUUUAAUUAUCCUCUUUGGGAUAUGAAAGUACCACGUGGAAGAUGGAGGCCAACUAUUUCUUCUUCAGGAGAGUCAAAAGAACCACAUUGAAGAAGAGGUUCACAACAGAUGCUAAAAAAUCUAAGGGUGCUCAUGGCCUGAAUACGUUUCCAGGCAGAGUUUGUGAGCAGAGUUCACAAAGGUGCGGAUGAAGACCGUUCGCUGGGCUUCACUAGUACAAAGACAGGCUGACAGUGCAAAGACGAAGAGGAACGGUCCCAGCCAUCAGGGAACUCAGCAGCUUGGAAGAUACUAAACAGCCACUCCUCCAGGAUCUUCUAGUUAGGAAAUUGAAGGCUCCGUCAUUGCUAUAGGCAUUUCAAGCUCGGCCAGUAGGCUCUGUAUAUUGACAGAGAUGAGAAAGACUGCUAUAGGUACAUUUUUCGUUCUCUAAAAAAAAGGGGUAACAGAUGUGGGGGAGAAGAAUUAGAAGCAAUGCAGAGUCUGUGUUUUCUUCUUUCUCCUAAGGUUAUGGCUCGUGUCCCAAGUUGUUGGGAAGGAACCUCUGGUUGCAGCAGGACUGACUGUACAAUUUGUGAGCCCAGUGUGAAAUGAAAAUGCAGGGCCCCUUGAUCAAAAAUUAUAAAAAAAUCUCAAGACAGCGCCAGCAGAGCAUUAAAACAAGCCCCAAGUCCCAGGCGCCACACAGCCUCGCUCUUCUGCAGUUCAGCUCUUCCUUUUACGUUCCUCUUCUGGCUACCUCAUUUAUCCUUCCGUAAACCUUCACUGAUGAGAGAUGUGGUAACCCAAGCAAGUCUAUCGUUCUUGCAACUAAAAUGAACCAGCACACUUAGGACACGACAGGGUUCCUGCUGUCAUUUCUUCCUCUUACCUUGUACCGUCUAAAAAUUGCAGGGAUGUAUUAAAAUGCUUUCUACUCCAUGUUAUUUUAGGUAAUAUUUAAUUAGGUUUUUAUGCUUUAAUACGAUGUCUGAUGUUCUGGAUCGUAUCCUCUAAUUUUUUCUACUAUAAUAAAGUUCCUGACACUA
rnacentral:lncRNA from 1 species